GGCAGACGGGUGAGUAACGCGUGGGAACGUGCCUUUCGGUUCGGAAUAACCCAGGGAAACUUGGGCUAAUGCCGGAUACGCCCUUCGGGGGAAAGAUUUAUCGCCGAUAGAUCGGCCCGCGUCGGAUUAGCUUGUUGGUGGGGUAAAAGCCUACCAAGGCGACGAUCCGUAGCUGGUCUGAGAGGAUGAUCAGCCACACUGGGACUGAGACACGGCCCAGACUCAUACGGGAGGCAGCAGUGGGGAAUAAUGGACAAUGGGCGAAAGCCUGAUCCAGCCAUGCCGCGUGGGUGAAGAAGGCCCUAGGGUUGUAAACCCCUUUCAGCGGGGAAGAUAAUGACGGUACCCGCCGAAGAAGCCCCGGCUAACUCCGUGCCAGCAGCCGCGGUAAUUCGGAGGGGGCUAGCGUUGUUCGGAAUUACUGGGCGUAAAGCGCGCGUAGGCGCACUUUCAAGUCACGGGUGAAAUCCCGAGGCUCGACCUCGGAACUGCCUUUGAUACUGUAAGUCUUGAGUCCGAGAGAGGUAAGUGGAAUUCCUAGUGUAGAGGUGAAAUUCGUAGAUAUUAGGAAGAACACCAGUGGCGAAGGCGGCUCA
rnacentral:rRNA from 1 species